rnacentral:rRNA from 1 species
GAUGAACGCUGGCGGCGUGGUUAAGGCAUGCAAGUCGAACGAAAUAUAUUUACUUUUUAUGUUUAGUGGCAUACGGGGUAGUAACACGUAGGAACUCACCCCAGCCCUUGACACAACCCUGCGAACGCGGGGCUAAUAUCCGUUCGUCUUCGAUCCUCCAACUGCGUCGGAGUAAAUCUAGCAAUAGGCUCUGUGAAAGUCCUGUGGCCUAUUAGCUUGUUGUUGAGGUAAUGGCUCACCAAGGCUAUGACGGCUAGUGGGCGUGAGAGCGCGACCCCCACAAAUGGAACUGCGACACGGUCCAUACACCUACGGGGGGAUGAGGUGAAGAAAAUGCGACAAGGGGCGAAAGCCUGAGCAGGAGACGCGGCGUGGGGGAAGAAGCUCUUCGGAGCGUAAACCGCUUUUAUAGGGGAAAAGCGCAAGUGAUAUUACCCUAUGAAGAAGGACUUGCUAACCACGUG